rnacentral:lncRNA from 13 species
AGGGAGAAAGGGGGAAAGAGAGCAGAAGGGGGAAAGAGAGAGAGGGGGAGAUGGAGGGAGAGAGAAAGAGGGGGAGACGGAGGGAGAAACGGGGAAAGAGAGAGAGGGGGAGAAGGGGAGAUGGAGAGAGAGAGAAGGGGAGAUGGAGAGAGAAAGAGGGGGAGACGGAGGGAGAAAGGGGGAAUUAGAGAGAGAGGGAGAGAUGGAGGGAGCGAGAGAAAGACGGAGAAAGGGGGAAUUAGAGAGAGAGAAUCCAAAGAUGUUCUUUUAUCCUCUAUAGGAACAGGUUAUCCCAGUGUGAUGGCGGAAGCAGAUUCAUCAUGUCACAAAGGUUUUGUCCCAAAUGCCACCCUAUUAUAGUGCACUACUUUAGACCAGAGCCCUAUGGUACCCUAUUCCCUAUAUAGUGCACUACUUAUGACCAGAGCCCUAUGGGGGCUUUGGCCAACCCUAUUUUUGUAGUACCGGAGUUCCCUACAGUCCAUCCACUAUAUCUCCUUCAGUCCAUCCACUAUGUCUCCUACAUUCCCUACAGUCCAUCCACUAUGUCUCCUACAUUCCCUACAGUCCAUCCACUAUGUCUCCUACAUUCCCUACAGUCCAUCCACUAUGUCUCCUACAGUCCAUCCACUAUGUCUCCUACAGUCCAUCCACUGUCUCCUACAGUCCAUCCACUAUGUCUCCUACAGUCCAUCCACUAUGUCUCCUACAUUCCCUACAGUCCAUCCACUAUUUCAUUUUUUAAUUUUAUUUUACCUUUAUUUAACUAGGCAAGUCAGUUAAGAACAAAUUCUUAUUUUCAAUGACGGCCUAGGAACAGUGGGUUUACUGCCUGUUCAGGCGCAGAACGACAGAUUUGUACCUUGUCAGCUCGGGGGUUUGAACUUGCAACCUUCCGGUUACUAGUCCAACGCUCUAACCACUAGGCUACCCUGCCGUCCCUCUCCUCGCCCUGUACCUCUCCUCGCCCCGUCCCUCUCCUCGCCCCGUCCCUCUCCUCGUCCCUCUCCUCGUCCCUCUCCUCGCCCUCUCCUCGCCCCGUCCNNNNNNNNNNNNNNNNNNNNNNNNNNNNGAGGGAGAAAGGGGGAAAGAGAGCAGAAGGGGGAAAGAGAGAGAGGGGGAGAUGGAGGGAGAGAGAAAGAGGGGGAGACGGAGGGAGAAACGGGGAAAGAGAGAGAGGGGGAGAAGGGGAGAUGGAGAGAGAGAGAAGGGGAGAUGGAGAGAGAAAGAGGGGGAGACGGAGGGAGAAAGGGGGAAUUAGAGAGAGAGGGAGAGAUGGAGGGAGCGAGAGAAAGACGGAGAAAGGGGGAAUUAGAGAGAGAGAAUCCAAAGAUGUUCUUUUAUCCUCUAUAGGAACAGGUUAUCCCAGUGUGAUGGCGGAAGCAGAUUCAUCAUGUCACAAAGGUUUUGUCCCAAAUGCCACCCUAU